rnacentral:rRNA from 1 species
UACGGGGGGGGCAAGCGUUGUUCGGAAUUACUGGGCGUAAAGGGCUCGUAGGCGGCCAACUAAGUCAGACGUGAAAUCCCUCGGCUUAACCGGGGAACUGCGUCUGAUACUGGAUGGCUUGAGUUUGGGAGAGGGAUGCGGAAUUCCAGGUGUAGCGGUGAAAUGCGUAGAUAUCUGGAGGAACACCGGUGGCGAAGGCGGCAUCCUGGACCAAUACUGACACUGAAAAGCGAAAGCCAGGGGAGCAAACGGG